CCCUUAGAGUUUGAUCCUGGCUCAGGAUGAACGCUGGCGGCGCGCCUAACACAUGCAAGUCGAACGGACGAUGAAGAGCUUGCUUUUCAAAGUUAGUGGCGGACGGGUGAGUAACGCGUGGGUAACCUGCCUCAUACAGGGGAAUAGCAGCUGGAAACGGCUGAUAAAACCGCAUAAGCGCACAGUGCCGCAUGGCACAGUGUGAAAAACUCCGGUGGUAUGAGAUGGACCCGCGUCUGAUUAGCUUGUUGGCGGGGUAACGGCCCACCAAGGCGACGAUCAGUAGCCGGCCUGAGAGGGUGAUCGGCCACAUUGGGACUGAGACACGGCCCAAACUCCUACGGGAGGCAGCAGUGGGGAAUAUUGCACAAUGGGGGAAACCCUGAUGCAGCGACGCCGCGUGAAGGAAGAAGUAUCUCGGUAUGUAAACUUCUAUCAGCAGGGAAGAUAAUGA
rnacentral:rRNA from 1 species